AUUGAACGCUGGCGGCAUGCUUUACACAUGCAAGUCGAACGGUAACAGGCCGCAAGGUGCUGACGAGUGGCGAACGGGUGAGUAAUGCAUCGGAACGUGCCCAGUCGUGGGGGAUAACGCAGCGAAAGCUGCGCUAAUACCGCAUACGAUCUGUGGAUGAAAGCGGGGGACCGUAAGGCCUCGCGCGAUUGGAGCGGCCGAUGUCGGAUUAGGUAGUUGGUGGGGUAAAGGCUCACCAAGCCGACGAUCUGUAGCUGGUCUGAGAGGACGACCAGCCACACUGGGACUGAGACACGGCCCAGACUCCUACGGGAGGCAGCAGUGGGGAAUUUUGGACAAUGGGCGCAAGCCUGAUCCAGCAAUGCCGCGUGCAGGAAGAAGGCCUUCGGGUUGUAAACUGCUUUUGUACGGAACGAAACGGUCCUGGUUAAUACCCGGGGCUAAUGACGGUACCGUAAGAAUAAGCACCGGCUAACUACGUGCCAGCCGCCGCAGUAAGAC
rnacentral:rRNA from 1 species